rnacentral:lncRNA from 13 species
CAGAACGUUAGGCAAAAUAAACAACAGGCUAAGCGAGUACAAUGUUAGGUCUAAUUACGUAGAAUGCUGCUGACUUGGGUGGCUGUUAAAUCACCUGUUGUGUAUACUGAUAGGAUUCCAAACAAUGCAAAGAUGUAAAGUCACCAAUCUAACAGCAAGGAAAUCCUUAAGAUUAGAGGUAAUACUAGAAGAAUGGAUAUCCAAAGAUAUAUUAAAAAAAAGAACCUAGAAAAAAAUCUAGGUGUCUAAUAAAUUUAAAAGCUUCACACUGUUUUCCACAACUAUCUAUUCAUAACUAUCACUAUCUAUUCCAUAACUAUCUAUUGUCACGACUUCUGCCGAAGUCGGUCCCUCUCCUUGUUCGGGCGGUGUUCGGCGGUCGACGUCACCGACCUUCUAGCCAUCGCUGAUCCUCUUUUCAUUUUCCUUUGGUUUUGUCUUCCAUCACACCUGGUUCCAAUCCCAUCAAUUACAUGUUGUGUAUUUAACCCUCUGUUCCCCCUCAUGUCCUUAUUGGAGACUGUUUGUAUGUUAGUGCUAUUAUGUGUUGGUGCGCGACGGGUUUUGGACCCAUUUUAUUAUUUUUUUGUAUAUUUAGUUUUUUGUAGUUUGUUUGUAGUUCUUAUUAAAUGACUCCGUUUAUUAUACCAAGUUCGUUUGCCUGCACCUGACUUCCCUGCCACCAACACGCAUACCUUACAAUUUCAUAACUAUCUAUUCCAUAACUAGCUAAGUUAUUUACAUUCAUUGAAGGUCAGUUAUGUGCAGUGGAUGUAUUUUGGACCCAACGGUGAUUCAAGCUACUGUGUUCAUUAUCAGUUCUUUCAUAUUUUAUAAUUACACAGAAUUCAGUAGACAUGCAAUGCAAUUCGAACGACCAGGCUGGUGCUGAUUUAUCGCAGUUUAGCAUCUCCAGAUCUUCAUUUAACUGUCCAUGUCUCAUCUCAUUUACUGUCCAUGUCUCAUCUCAUUUACUGUCCAUGUCUCAUCUCAUUUACUGUCCAUGUCUCAUCUCAUUUACUGUCCAUGUCUCAUCUCAUUUACUGUCCAUGUCUCAUCUCAUUUACUGUCCAUGUCUCAUCUCAUUUACUGUCCAUGUCUCAUCUCAUUUGACUGUCCAUGUCUCAUCUCAUUUGACUGUACAUGUAGAUGUUUUCUUAUAGCUUACCCGUUAGUUUCAUAGAUAAAGCUGGAACCAUGGUAACCGUUCCCAAAGUCACAACGGCCUAAACGAUGCCCACACACAUGGUUUUCUAUGGCGUUCAUCUCUAUGGCCCCACUAUCCUUUUGGCUCACAGGAACAAUUCAAUUCCUCCACCAAUAUUCCUCUUCUUACUAAAAGGCUUUUGGUUGUAGGCCACCUGUCGACUAAUUAAUUAAGGCUCUCAGAAGAAAUGAGGGUCUGAGCAUUAGGCAAACUCCCUGCACUAAUAAUAAGAGUAGAGCUAUAACACACACACACACACACACACACACACACACACACACACACACACACACACACACAAACACACACACCAGCACCAUUAGAUCUCUCCCUCUCUCUUGUUUUAAUCAGUCAAUUGCUAUAUUUCUACUUCCUCUCCAUGAAUCAUCCCGGCUCCCAGUUUGCUGGGCUCUUAUGGAGUGAAUUACACACUGGAGCUCUGUGUGCCAAUUCAAGUAAGUGAAUUUCCCCCAACAGGCCAAUAUAACUGUCAACACAGAGCAGCUCCAACCAGCUCUCUCUUGCUCUCUCUUUUUUCCCACUCUCUCGUAGUUCUCUCUCUCUCUCUCUCUCUCUCUCUCUUCCCCCCCAUCUCUCUCUCUCCCCUCCUCCCCUCUUCCCCUCUGUCUCUCUCUCUCUCUCUNNNNNNNNNNACACACACACACACACACACACACACACACACACACACACACACACACACACACAAACACACACACCAGCACCAUUAGAUCUCUCCCUCUCUCUUGUUUUAAUCAGUCAAUUGCUAUAUUUCUACUUCCUCUCCAUGAAUCAUCCCGGCUCCCAGUUUGCUGGGCUCUUAUGGAGUGAAUUACACACUGGAGCUCUGUGUGCCAAUUCAAGUAAGUGAAUUUCCCCCAACAGGCCAAUAUAACUGUCAACACAGAGCAGCUCCAACCAGCUCUCUCUUGCUCUCUCUUUUUUCCCACUCUCUCGUAGUUCUCUCUCUCUCUCUCUCUCUCUCUCUCUUCCCCCCCAUCUCUCUCUCUCCCCUCCUCCCCUCUUCCCCUCUGUCUCUCUCUCUCUCUCUC